CCUAUGAUUCCGUUCAUAGUAGCCUAAUUCGACGUGCGUCAUUGGUAACGAUGGCGUGCGAAGCUCGAAUGACAAUGUACUGAAGUUUACGCAUGUAAACGUCGUGGAUUUGCUGAUAGGUAAACACGAAUCUGGAAGCUUCAUCCGGAAUAAGGC
rfam:Legionella pneumophila subsp. pneumophila str. Philadelphia 1, complete genome.